GACGAACGCUGGCGGCGUGCUUAACACAUGCAAGUCGAACGGUGAAGCGCCUUCCUUUUUGGUGGGUGUGGAUGAGUGGCGAACGGGUGAGUAACACGUGAGUAACCUGCCCCCUUCUUCUGGAUAACCGCAUGAAAGUGUGGCUAAUACGGGAUAUUCUGGGUCUGUCGCAUGAUGGGUCUGGGAAAGAUAUUGUUUCGGUGGGGGAUGGGCUCGCGGCCUAUCAGCUUGUUGGUGGGGUGAUGGCCUACCAAGGCGGUGACGUGUAGCCGGCCUGAGAGGGUGGACGGUCACACUGGGACUGAGACACGGCCCAGACUCCUACGGGAGGCAGCAGUGGGGAAUAUUGCACAAUGGGCGCAAGCCUGAUGCAGCGACGCCGCGUGAGGGAUGGAGGCCUUCGGGUUGUGAACCUCUUUUGCCAGUGAAGCAGGCCUGCCUCGUUUGUGGGUGGGUUGACGGUAGCUGGAUAAGAAGCGCCGGCUAACUACGUG
rnacentral:rRNA from 1 species